GCACUACUGAGGAGUCCCAUACCAGGACGAAACGGCCGUCCAGUGC
rfam:Schistosoma margrebowiei strain Zambia genome assembly, scaffold: SMRZ_scaffold0002440